UUUUCUGGAUAUACUUAUGUGAUAAGUUUCUAAAAUUUCAUCUGUUGGCUCAUUACCUUCCUGUGACAGUGAAGACAUCUAACAACAGCUCUGAAAAUGAGCAUUAUCAGGUGAAAUGUUACCAGAUGUAUGAGAGCUUAUUUCAGAGAUGAGGAUAAAAAGAAUGCCAAUGGAUGCAGAGUCUUGCAGAAUUAUUGAAUGGAUGGAAAAAGGUGUUUGCAAUGCCUUGCAGAAGAAGUAUUUGGAAAC